rnacentral:rRNA from 1 species
UACGUAGGUGGCGAGCGUUGUCCGGAUUUACUGGGCGUAAAGAGCGCGCAGGCGGUCGGCCAAGUCGAGUGUGAAAGCCCCCGGCUCAACUGGGGAGGGUCACUUGAUACUGGUCGACUCGAGGGCGGGAGAGGGAAGUGGAAUUCCCGGUGUAGUGGUGAAAUGCGUAGAUAUCGGGAGGAACACCAGUGGCGAAGGCGACUUCCUGGCCCGUUCUUGACGCUGAGGCGCGAAAGCUAGGGGAGCAAACGGG